rnacentral:lncRNA from 1 species
CACACACACACACACACAUAUAUAACAUUUUUUUGUGAAUGUAAAUGAAUUGAAUAUCCACAAAUUAAAAUAAUCUAAAGUAUUCGGUGAGUAUGAUUGGCAUUUUAGCAGGAUAGGGAGGAACGGAGCCCGCAAAUGAGCCGGGUCGGUUUGACAUUGGCUUUGUUUUGGGGGUUAGAGCUUCCCCGAUUUGUUCUGGGCGAGAACAUCCACAAGAAGAAACAUUCCUUUUAUAAAU